UACGAAGGGUGCAAGCGUUACUCGGAAUUACUGGGCGUAAAGCGUGCGCAGGCGGGUAUUUAAGACAGAUGUGAAAUCCCCGGGCUUAACCUGGGAAUGGCAUUUGAGACUGGGAGUCUAGAGUACUGUAGAGGGGGAUAGAAUUCCACGUGUAGCGGUGAAAUGCGUAGAGAUGUGGAGGAAUACCGAAGGCGAAGGCAGCCCCUUGG
rnacentral:rRNA from 1 species